GACGGAGGGGGCAAGCGUUGUCCGGAUUUACUGGGCGUAAAGGGCGCGUAGGCGGUUCUUUAAGUCGCCGGUGAAAUCGCUCGGCUUAACCGAGCAAUUGCCGGCGAUACUGGGGAACUUGAGUCCGGGAGAGGAGAGUGGAAUUGCCGGUGUAGCGGUGAAAUGCGUAGAUAUCGGCAAGAACACCAGUGGCGAAGGCGGCUCUCUGGACCGGUACUGACGCUGAGGCGCGAAAGCUAGGGGAGCGAAC
rnacentral:rRNA from 1 species